rnacentral:rRNA from 1 species
AGCUAGUUGGUGGGGUAAUGGCCCACCAAGGCGACGAUCAGUAGCUGGUCUGAGAGGAUGAUCAGCCACACUGGGACUGAGACACGGCCCAGACUCCUACGGGAGGCAGCAGUGGGGAAUUUUCCGCAAUGGGCGAAAGCCUGACGGAGCAACGCCGCGUGAGGGAUGAAGGCCUCUGGGCUGUAAACCUCUUUUCUCAAGGAAGAAGACAUGACGGUACUUGAGGAAUAAGCCACGGCUAAUUCCGUGCCAGCAGCCGCGGUAAUACGGGAGUGGCAAGCGUUAUCCGGAAUUAUUGGGCGUAAAGCGUCCGCAGGCGGCCCUGUAAGUCUGUCGUUAAAGCGUGGAGCUUAACUCCAUUUAAGCGAUGGAAACUACAGGGCUUGAGUGUGGUAGGGGCAGAGGGAAUUCCCGGUGUAGCGGUGAAAUGCGUAGAUAUCGGGAAGAACACCAGUGGCGAAGGCGCUCUGCUGGGCCAUAACUGACGCUCAUGGACGAAAGCCAGGGGAGCGAAAGGGAUUAGAUACCCCUGUAGUCCUGGCCGUAAACGAUGAACACUAGGUGUCGGGGGAAUCGACCCCCUCGGUGUCGUAGCCAACGCGUUAAGUGUUCCGCCUGGGGAGUACGCACGCAAGUGUGAAACUCAAAGGAAUUGACGGGGGCCCGCACAAGCGGUGGAGUAUGUGGUUUAAUUCGAUGCAACGCGAAGAACCUUACCAGGGUUUGACAUCCUGCGAAUCCCUUGGAAACUAGGGAGUGCCUUCGGGAGCGCAGAGACAGGUGGUGCAUGGCUGUCGUCAGCUCGUGUCGUGAGAUGUUGGGUUAAGUCCCGCAACGAGCGCAACCCACGUCUUUAGUUGCCAGCAUUCAGUUGGGCACUCUAGAGAGACCGCCGGUGAUAAACCGGAGGAAGGUGUGGAUGACGUCAAGUCAUCAUGCCCCUUACAUCCUGGGCUACACACGUACUACAAUGCUACGGACAAAGGGCAGCAAGCUCGCGAGAGUUAGCAAAUCCCAUAAACCGUGGCUCAGUUCAGAUCGUAGGCUGCAACUCGCCUACGUGAAGGAGGAAUCGCUAGUAAUCGCAGGUCAGCAUACUGCGGUGAAUACGUUCCCGGGCCUUGUACACACCGCCCGUCACACCAUGGAAGUUGGCCAUGCCCGAAGUCGUUACUCCAACCCUUGUGGAGGAGGACGCCGAAGGUGGGGCUGAUGACUGGGGUGAAGUCGAAACAAGGUAGCCGUACCGGAAGGUGCGGCUG